rnacentral:rRNA from 1 species
UGGGGAAUUUGGACAAUGGGCGAAAGCCUGAUCCAGCAAUGCCGCGUGUGUGAAGAAGGCCUUCGGGUUGUAAAGCACUUUUGUCCGGAAAGAAAUCCUUGGCUCUAAUACAGUCGGGGGAUGACGGUACCGGAAGAAUAAGCACCGGCUAACUACGUGCCAGCAGCCGCGGUAAUACGUAGGGUGCAAGCGUUAAUCGGAAUUACUGGGCGUAAAGCGUGCGCAGGCGGUUUGCUAAGACCGAUGUGAAAUCCCCGGGCUCAACCUGGGAACUGCAUUGGUGACUGGCAGGCUAGAGUAUGGCAGAGGGGGGUAGAAUUCCACGUGUAGCAGUGAAAUGCGUAGAGAUGUGGAGGAAUACCGAUGGCGAAGGCAGCCCCCUGGGCCAAUACUGACGCUCAUGCGCGAAAGCGUGGGGAGCAAACAGGAUUAGAUACCCUGGUAGUCCACGCCCUAAACGAUGUCAACUGUUGUUGGGAUUCAUUCCUUAGUAACGUAGCUAACGCGUGAAGUUGACCGCCUGGGGAGUACGGUCGCAAGAUUAAAACUCAAAGGAAUUGACGGGGUCAUAGCUGUUUCCU